UACGUAGGUGACCAGCGUUGUCCGGAUUUACUGGGCGUAAAGAGCGCGCAGGCGGUCGUUCAAGUCGAGUGUGAAAGCCCCCGGCUCAACUGGGGAGGGUCAUUCGAUACUGAUCGACUGGAAGGCAGGAGAGGGAAGCGGAAUUCCCGGUGUAGUGGUGAAAUGCGUAGAUAUCGGGAGGAACACCAGUGGCGAAGGCGACUUCCUGGCCUGUUCUUGACGCUGAGGCGGCGAAAGCUAGGGGAGCAAACGGGG
rnacentral:rRNA from 1 species